rnacentral:rRNA from 1 species
CACAUAGGGCGCAAGCGUUGUCCGGAAUUAUUGGGCGUAAAGAGCGUGUAGGCGGUCCGGUAAGUCAGCUGUGAAAGUCAAGGGCUCAACCCUUGAAAGCCGGUUGAUACUGUCGGGCUAGAGUCCGGAAGAGGCGAGUGGAAUUCCUGGUGUAGCGGUGAAAUGCGCAGAUAUCAGGAAGAACACCCGUGGCGAAGGCGGCUCUCUGGGACGUGACUGACGCUGAGACGCGAAGGCCAGGGGAGCAAACGGG